rnacentral:ncRNA from 1 species
GAUGCAGACUCGGGGUGCCGUUGAAGGCUGAGAUCAUACCCGUGAACCUGUUUGGUUAAGACCUGCGAAGGGAAGUCAGCAUGACAUCUG